AUGACAAAAAGCUUCAGAGGAAUUGUGCAUGCUGCUCACAUUGCCCUGCCCUGCCGUGCUUGGGAAUGGAGUGAGAUCAAGACAAGCGAACCGGACAUGGAGCUGGUAGGAACAGCUGGCCUUGGGCCUCCCAGAGCUGUCUCGUGGCCAGCUGUGCCUGGAGAACCUCUGCAUCAGAAGUACCGUGAGCAGGGAGAAGGAUGGAAGAGUCUGCUGCGACGCGCCUGGGGAUGGGAUUUCUCCAGUCAGUGCCCCACAGCAGGUGGCAAGCACUUGGUUGCUCUCCUCCCACUUUAUCACAGCUUUAGAGUGAGUACGAGACUUGUUCCUACUCCAGCUGCUCUGCUGGAGGCAGAGAUCACCGCAAAGAAGUCAGAGACUUUCUGUGAGCCCCGUUCUGGAGGGGUUAGCCAAGGUUUGAGCUGCAGCCAGGGCCCAUAGUUAGCACCACCUUUUUCCCUGUCUUGAAGGGAAACUGGUGGUUUGCCACCUGACGUGAAAUGCAUGGUUGUCUGAUUAUUAGAGGCGGCGUUUUCUUGGCACUAAGUCCCUGAGCUGGCGUCCAACACUGAGCUCAGCCGUGCCGGUCCUGCAGGCUUCUUAUGACCUUGAGCGAGUCACUUAAUUUUGCUCUGCCUCAUCGUCCGCCCCCUUCCUUCCCUUCCUUCCUGUCCACAAGGAGGUAAAUUCUUUGAUGAAUGGGUAGUCUUAUAGCAUAAAAUCAAAUGAUCCAAA
rnacentral:lncRNA from 1 species